AGCGGUUCUCAGGUGAUGCACCCCAGAACCAGAGAGGGAGCCUGCUGAUUCUGGGGUGCAUCACCCAAGAACCACC
rfam:Myotis brandtii contig236189, whole genome shotgun sequence.